GUGAUAGAGGCGCGGGAAACAUCAGUAGCGCGGCGGAGGACUUCGGAGGUCCCGAGAAGCCGCUCAAAAGGGUUUUUCGCCGAAGGGGCCCUUUUCCGGAUGCAAGGGCCGCCUGGGCACAGAUGCGAACAGGUCUGUGACUGUCAUCAGAAUACUGAUGUUGAGCUGUCG
rnacentral:ncRNA from 1 species